GAUGAACGCUGGCGGCGUGCCUAAUACAUGCAAGUCGAGCGAACAGACGAGGAGCUCGCUCCUCUGACGUUAGCGGCGGACGGGUGAGUAACACGUGGAUAACCUACCUAUAAGACUGGGAUAACUUCGGGAAACCGGAGCUAAUACCGGAUAAUAUAUUGAACCGCAUGGUUCAAUAGUGAAAGACGGUUUUGCUGUCACUUAUAGAUGGAUCCGCGCCGCAUUAGCUAGUUGGUAAGGUAACGGCUUACCAAGGCGACGAUGCGUAGACGACCUGAGAGGGUGAUCGGCCACACUGGAACUGAGACACGGUCCAGACUCCUACGGGAGGCAGCAGUAGGGAAUCUUCCGCAAUGGGCGAAAGCCUGACGGAGCAACGCCGCGUGAGUGAUGAAGGUCUUCGGAUCGUAAAACUCUGUUAUUAGGGAAGAACAAAUGUGUAAGUAACUAUGCACGUCUUGACGGUACCUAAUCAGAAAGCCACGGCUAACUACGUG
rnacentral:rRNA from 1 species